AGAAUCAACGCUGGCGGCGUGCCUAACACAUGCAAGUCGAACGCGGUUACCCCGCAAGGGGUAACUGAGUGGCGAACGGGAGAGUAACACGUGGGUGACCUACCUUCGAAUGGGGGAUAACGUCCCGAAAGGGACGCUAAUACCGCAUAACAUCCUGCCUUUGAACAGGCGGAGAUCAAAGCCGGGGAUCGCAAGACCUGGCGUUUGAAGAGGGGCCCGCGUCCGAUUAGCUAGUUGGUGAGGUAACGGCUCACCAAGGCGACGAU
rnacentral:rRNA from 1 species